GACCAAGGAGUCUAACAUGUGCGCGAGUCGUAGGGUUACGCUCAAAGCCCGAAGGCGCAAUGAAAGUGAAGGUCGGCCUCGAUUGCCGUUACCUAGGCGGGAUCCGUUCGGGCUUACCGGUCGUUCGCGGCUGAGCCCGGCGGCGCACCGCCGGCCCGUCUCGACCGCAUCGCCGGUGAGGCGGAGCGAGAGCGUACACGUUGGGACCCGAAAGAUGGUGAACUAUGCCCGGGCAGGACGAAGCCAGAGGAAACUCUGGUGGAGGUCCGUAGCGAUUCUGACGUGCAAAUCGAUCGUCGGACAUUGGUAUAGGGGCUAAUCAAACCAUCUCGUAGCUGGAUCCCUCUGAGGUUUCCCUCAGGAUAGCUGAUGCUCGAGGAGGGAAGUCUCAUCCGGUAAAGCGAAUGAUUAGAGGCUUUGGGGACGAAACGACCUCACCCUAUUCUGAAACUUUCAAUGGGUGAGAAGUCCGGCUUGCUUGACUGCAGGCCCGA
rnacentral:rRNA from 1 species